rnacentral:lncRNA from 1 species
ACAAUAGGUCAGCAAAGGAGUUCCCGUAGUUUCAAAUGAAAUUUUACCCAGUACUCUAACAGUGUAUAAGCUUCUGAGGAAGUAGUCAAUGUUCCAUAGAGAUAAGAGAAAAUUCAAACAGGCAAACAACUCUGCAAGGCUGAAUUGCAGGCAUGAUCUAAAACUUCCUUCUUUCUUCUAAAGGCCUCCUCCGUUCCAAAGUUGCUCAUCCUAAAACCUGAAAAAAAAAAUGACUCAGAAGUGGUUCCCAUCUCAAGAACUACCCACGAGUCUCAGUGGACACAUUCCCCGAUGCAGCCUUCCAAUCCAGCAGAGGUUCCAACCAACUUCCAAACAGGUGCAACUUGAUGGCACCUCAUUUUUGGCUGUACCAGAUGCCUUCUAUCUCUGGACUCCUGCCCUCAGACUUCUCCGACACCUGAAGAAAGCUUCUGGGACAGCUGACAUGCACAACCUGGGAGCUAAAACAUGUGGGACCAGCUGUGACCAAUGAACAAUGAUGGACAGGAGACGAUAACCCCAUUAGUUCCUUACAGUGCUGAGAUAAAUUUCAUGAGUCUCCUAGAAGAUCUGAUGGGAUUGAACAUCAGUUGUACCUAGCAUGGCCGCUGUACUGGCUUUCCUUCCUUCCCUAUUUCAUCCCCCCUCGUCCCUCCUACUCCUUGGGAUCACAUUGACAAAUAAGUCUCUUGCAUGCAAUUCUUUAUUUCAAGCUCUGUAUUCAGUUAGCAGACAGCAGAAAUGUGGUCCAAAGCAGGAGAGGACUCAGCAGCAGCAGGCUCUGGUACAAUCUGCCCUGUCACUCAAGCCAUGUGAAUGAGAAGAUCCAGUGGUGGCUGGUUGAAUGCAUGACUCCCCUGUGGAUGUCAGCCAGAGUCUUCUUCUCAGACAACCAGUGCUAGCACAAUGGGCCCAUGGAUGAGAUGGCUCAGGUGGCAGGAUAAAGGCUGUAUGUGGGCUCGGUAUUGUGGGCUUUCUCUUAGCAAUGACCUAGCUAUUACCACUGCUGAAUGGUCCAGCCAACCAAUGGCAGAGGGAGAUGCCAAUCUCUAUAGCACCUUCACAGAUAUCAGCCAGGCCCUUGGGGAAAGGCUGAUCAUAACAGACCACUUCCACCCCAAAAAGGAGAGGGGAGAUAGAAAUUCAUGCUUACAUAAAUUGACAUGUACUCCAGGUUUGGGUUUGCUUUCUCUGCCUUUAGGGUCUCUGCAAGUGCCACUAUUUGAGAACAUAAGAAUGCCUAAUCUAUCAGUGUAGUAUCCCACACAACAUUGCUUCAGACCCAGGGAUCGAUAUAUGUCAAAGGAGGUGCAGCAAUGAGUGUAUGAGUAGGGACUCCAUGAGUUUUCUCAUAUACCACCUCAUUCACAAGCAUCCAGCUUAACUGAAGACUGGAUUGGCCUGUUAAAGGCUUAGUUAGGAGACUAGCCUGAGAAACACAAUCUGCGAUUCCAGUAUCACCUUGAUUCACGCCCCGGCCCUGGAAUUUCUGCAAGGUAGCUUGGUUUUUUGGUUUUGUUUUUGAGGGGUUUUUUAGUGAAGAAUGGUGUCAGAAUCUGGGUAGCAGGUGUUCUCAUUGUUAUUGGGAUCUCAUUUCUUCUUGGUCCUUUUAAGAGGCAGAGCUAGGAAAUAUAUGACCGUAUGUAUACUAUACAUAUAUAUGUCUUCACACAUAUUUAUAAAUAUACACAUACAUACAUCUGCACAUAAACACACAUAUAUGCAUUCACUUGCAUAUUUUAGAAAUCAUAAAUUCAAUUCACACCAAUAUGCCAAUUCCAAUCCACUCCAUAGGGCUAUUUCUGCCUUUUCUCAUUUGCUCAACCUUAUUAUACACCUAAAAAGGGUUUCGAGAUUGCUUCAUCCAUACUACUACAUGGUUCGCAUCUUAAGAGUGAUGAAACUUUGUCCCAAAGCUACCCGGCAGGAUUACACUCCUCUUAUUUGUGAGAAAUGUAUCACAUACCCAUGGCUGAACCAGUCUCUAGCAAAGGAGACAGGGGACCAUCAUGAUUGGUUUAGACCAAUCAUUCUCCUCCAUCCCCACCACCCCUGGGACCAGAGGCCAGGGCCCCCUCUCAAACACACCAUCCCAUGGAGGAGGGUGAGCUACCUGGAGAUAAUAAGGUUUCUCCUAGGAAGAAGGAAUGCAGGCUACAGAGCAUGGAUAUGGGAAAGGCAACCAACUAUCUCCUAUAUUAACCUACAAUCCAGAGUGGAAUAGGCAACAUAAGACUUCUGAAGUUAUAUAUAAAAUGUUCUUUGUGUGUACACACGUGAGAGGAGAAAAUCCUCAGUCAUCAUUUUCUCAGAGGGCUCAGUGACCCAAGAAAAGUUUAGAACCAUUUUCAUUUUUAAACAAACACAGGGCCGGGCGCGGUGGCUCACGCCUGUAAUCCCAGCACUUUGGGAGGCCGAGACGGGCGGAUCACGAGGUCAGGAGAUCGAGACCAUCUUGGCUAACACGGUGAAACCCCGUUUCUACUAAAAAUACAAAAAAUUAGCCGGGCGUGUUGGCGGGCGCCUGUAGUCCCAGCUACUUGGGAGGCUGAGGCAGGAGAAUGGCGUGAACCCGGGAGGCG